rnacentral:lncRNA from 1 species
GGCCAUAUAAUGCAGUUCAAACUGCAUUAUAUGGCAGUGUAGAUGGGGCCACACUCUACCAAAAAAAAGUCAAAUGGUAAACCUCAUCUGAAUAAAUCUUGCUAAGAAAUUGUCAUCACAGUGGAUAUAAAUUGGAGUUGUCUUGAAGGCACAUAACAACAACAACAACAACAACAACAACAACAACAACAACAACAACAACAAGCAUCACAGUGAUGACGGAUACCAUUGAGAGAUUGUGAUUGUCCCAAGCACACAAUGUCUAAGUGGGAAUUUGAACCCAAGUCCCCCAAGUGCUCAUACAACACAGGGGCCAUUUACACUGCUAUUACAAUGCAGAUUGAACUGGAUUAUAAGGCAGGUAGACUUAUAGAAUCCAGUUUAAUGCCGUUUGAUCUGCAUUAUAUGGCAGUGUAGAUGGGGCCACACUCUACCAAAAAAAGAGUCCAAUGGUGAACUUCCUCUGAAUAAAUCUUGCUAAGAAAUUGUCAUCACAGUGGACAUAAAUUGGAGUUGUCUUGAAGGCACACAACAACAAAACAACAGCAACAAGCAUCACAGUGAUGACGGAUACCAUUGGGAAACUGGCCAGAGUCCCACACUUUAGGGACCUCCCAAUAGUGUCUCUUGUAUCAGCCUAACUUGUCUUUAAUUCCUCAGAGAUAUAGGUAGAGAACUCCCCCCUCUAACACAGCCAACACUAAGCAUGGUUCAUCCAGCUCUGUGAUAUGUGAGUUCAUUGACCAGGAGAAUUUCUAUGCCUUUCCCCCUCUUGCACAAGUCCAGUCAUCCAAUUCACUCAGGACAACAUGAGGAAGAAGCAGUGAACGUCUAUUCAAGAAAGAGGGGAAAGGAGAAGAGAAUCGCAAUUUCACAGGUAUCAUCCAGCUCACUCCCAGCAAGUCAUCCUAGGAUACCAUUCUCCUUUAUACGUGGAUCUCCAGAAGAAACCUGGAUCAUAUGGUGA